UACAGAGGGUGCGAGCGUUGUCCGGAAUCACUGGGCGUAAAGGGCGCGUAGGCGGCCCGGUAAGGUUGCGGUGAAAGCCCGGGCUCAACCCCGGGUCGGCCGUGGCAACUGCUGGGCUGGAGCACAGUAGAGGCGGGUGGAAUUCCGGGUGUAGCGGUGGAAUGCGUAGAGAUCCGGAAGAACACCGGUGGCGAAGGCGGCCGGCUGGGGUGACCUGACGCUGAGGCGCGAAGCGUGGGAGCAAACAGGAUGAGAACCCGUAGG
rnacentral:rRNA from 1 species